UAGGGAAUCUUCGGCAAUGGGGGCAACCCUGACCGAGCAACGCCGCGUGAGUGAAGAAGGUUUUCGGAUCGUAAAGCUCUGUUGUAAGAGAAGAACGUGUGUGAGAGUGGAAAGUUCACACAGUGACGGUAACUUACCAGAAAGGGACGGCUAACUACGUGCCAGCAGCCGCGGUAAUACGUAGGUCCCGAGCGUUGUCCGGAUUUAUUGGGCCUAAAGCGAGCGCAGGCGGUUUAAUAAGUCUGAAGUUAAAGGCUGUGGCUUAACCAUUGUUCGCUUUGGAAACUGUUAAACUUGAGUGCAGAAGGGGAGAGUGGAAUUCCAUGUGUAGCGGUGAAAUGCGUAGAUAUAUGGAGGAACACCGGUGGCGAAAGCGGCUCUCUGGUCUGUAACUGACGCUGAGGCUCGAAAGCGUGGGGAGCAAACAGG
rnacentral:rRNA from 1 species